GGGCGCAAGCCUGAUGCAGCCAUGCCGCGUGUAUGAAGAAGGCCUUCGGGUUGUAAAGUACUUUCAGCGGGGAGGAAGGCGGUGAGGUUAAUAACCUCGCCGAUUGACGUUACCCGCAGAAGAAGCACCGGCUAACUCCGUGCCAGCAGCCGCGGUAAUACGGAGGGUGCAAGCGUUAAUCGGAAUUACUGGGCGUAAAGCGCACGCAGGCGGUCUGUUAAGUCAGAUGUGAAAUCCCCGGGCUUAACCUGGGAACUGCAUUUGAAACUGGCAGGCUUGAGUCUCGUAGAGGGGGGUAGAAUUCCAGGUGUAGCGGUGAAAUGCGUAGAGAUCUGGAGGAAUACCGGUGGCGAAGGCGGCCCCCUGGACGAAGACUGACGCUCAGGUGCGAAAGCGUGGGGAGUAAACAGGAUUAGAUACCCUGGUAGUCCACGCCGUAAACGAUGUCGACUUGGAGGUUGUGCCCUUGAGGCGUGGCUUCCGGAGCUAACGCGUUAAGUCGACCGCCUGGGGAGUACGGCCGCA
rnacentral:rRNA from 1 species